rnacentral:lncRNA from 1 species
AUGCAAGGUGGCGCUGUGGAGCUUUCACCUAAGAACAUGUUUCCCAAAGCUGAAAUCGUUCAGGGCUCCAACAGGACUCCGCCCCAUGCACCCGUAUCUCUCACUCUCUGCUCACCGCCAAUCUAUCACACGGGGCAACUUGUGAUCUCAUGGAUGGCUGUGGUCUCUCUCUCUUCUAGGCCUUUACAUGGCUUGUGGCCUCUGCUGGGGAUGCUAUGGCCGCCUUUUCCCACUUGUCAAGACCCUUGUCACCACGAUCUUACAUGGGUGUUUUCCCCGAGGAGUCCAGCACCACUUCCUCUGAGCUCAACAGUGCUUCUUGUGGGAUACCGCAGCUGUUUGCUGGAGAUUCCCUCCUUUCUACUGUGACUGAUCCCUUCCCAUCUCCUGGUCCUUGUCAAUGGUCCCCAUCUGCAAGGAAGAGGCCG